ACAGCGUGGGGGAGCGAACGGGAUUAGAUACCCCGGUAGUCAACGCAGUAAACGAUGGGUGCUAGGUGUGGGAGGUAUCGACCCCUUCCGUGCCGGAGCUAACGCACUAAGCACCCCGCCUGGGGAGUACGGCCGCAAGGCUGAAACUCAAAGGAAUUGACGGGGGCCCGCACAAGCGGUGGAGCAUGUGGUUUAAUUUGAAGCAACGCGAAGAACCUUACCUGGGCUUGACAUCACCGCGAACCUGGCCGAAAGGCUGGGGUGCCCCUUCGGGGGAGCGCGGUGACAGGUGCUGCAUGGUUGUCGUCAGCUCGUGUCGUGAGAUGUUGGGUUAAGUCCCGCAACGAGCGCAACCCCCGCCCUGUGUUGCCAGCGGUUCGGCCGGGCACUCACAGGGGACUGCCGGUGACAAACCGGAGGAAGGUGGGGAUGACGUCAAAUCAUCAUGGCCCUUAUGCCCAGGGCUACACACGUGCUACAAUGGCCGGUACAACGGGUUGCGAACCCGCGAGGGGGAGCCAAUCCCUAAAAGCCGGUCCCAGUUCGGAUCGCAGGCUGCAACUCGCCUGCGUGAAGCCGGAAUCGCUAGUAAUCGCGGAUCAGAAUGCCGCGGUGAAUACGUUCCCGGGCCUUGUACACACCGCCCGU
rnacentral:rRNA from 1 species